rnacentral:piRNA from 1 species
UAACUAGUGCACAUCUGGUGAUACAGGU